ACGGGCUUCUAGAACAGCGACUACCAGCAGAUGUCGCCAUCCUACAAGACAUGAAGUGCAGGGGACCCAUGGUAAACCUGGGGCAGGGUGGGGGGAGGGUAACCGGAAGAGGCCGGCGCUCCAGCAAGGGGGUGGGCAAUGGCUUUAGGGCCUUUCAUAUCCUGGGGUUUAUUGGGGGAAAUGAGCUCAGGUCUGGUCUGCUAACUUCCUGAGUCAGGAUUCACCUUUUAGUUUAGUUAGUGUAGUUUUAUUUUGUUUUAUUGGGAUAUGCUUACCAUUUGUUUUCUUGGCAGUGGCCAUAACACUUUCUCCGACGUGAUCAGCACCAAAGCUUGCUGGGCACGGACUUGGGACUGUUGGGUGCCGGGACUUUCCCCGGAGCCUGCUCAGACCAGCUGUGUGGUCACCUGCCCUUCGUGGCCUGUGGAUCCGUCCUGGAGCUCUCAGGCGUGGCUUAGAGGACCUGCAGGCUCACACCCAGUGUGAGAGACACCUUCUGGAAGAGAGAAGUUUGCAGCAAGAAUAUCUGUUCCUGACUGUCAGUCCAUGUCCCCAACCAGAGAAAUGAGUUCUGCUUGGCACAGCGGAACAGAUAGAUUAUCUCAAAAUCCAGUGUGAAAAUUAGAAUCUGAGAGGCAUUUGCUGGUGCAGAGGAAGGAGUUCACAAAGAACAUCUCAGGGAGAGGAGACGGACACAGACCAUUCACCUCCAGUGACCUUGGGUGGUAUUCAAGGUGGACCCAUGUGGGGAUGACACGGGGACAGCGUCACCUGCAGGCGGGAUAGCCUUGGUGAGCGUCCCCUGUGGAGCUGUAGCCAAUGACCGUCUUGGAUGAAUGGACCUGGUGGGCCAUGCCCUGGCGGUCUUGACACCUCGAGUUGCUGCAGGACCCCUGACUCAUUCAGACUGGCCAGGAAAUGGCAGUGAGGUCCGGUCUCCUGAAUCCACUGGAUCAGUCCCAGGUGGAGGCAAAGAUCUCACACUUGGGUGCCAACCCUCCAGGACUUUCAUCUCUGCUCCAAGAAAUCUUGACAUUUUCAAAAAUUGAAAAAUCAAUUGGAAUGGAGCCGGCUCUUUUCAAGGGGAUUAUUAAUGGCUCUGGAACUGACUAAUCAUAUUUGCACAACUUUUCAAUAAAUAGCUUCCACAACAGCUAGGGUGGAAAAGAAAGCAUGCACCCCAUCCAGUCAGGACAAGCUUGAAGUAUUGAUUCUGCCACCUUCCUCUCCAUUGCCCUACUUUUGAAACAAAUAUAGUACUACACCAGGGUGGCUGAUCAUUGUCAAACUCCCGUGUCACCAGGUUCCAGCUCUGUUUUGCUGGAAAAAGCACAUUGCCUCUGUUGGCUGAAAUAACUUCCAAGGUUUCCUGCAGCCGAGGCUGUAAAUAGCUGAAUCGUGG